rnacentral:rRNA from 1 species
ACGGAGGGUGCGAGCGUUAAUCGGAAUUACUGGGCGUAAAGCGUGCGCAGGUGGUUCGUUAAGACAGAUGUGAAAGCCCCGGGCUCAACCUGGGAAUUGCACUUGAGACUGGCGGACUAGAGUACGGUAGAGGGGGGUGGAAUUCCAGGUGUAGCAGUGAAAUGCGUAGAGAUGUGGAGGAACACCAGUGGCGAAGGCAGCCCCCUGGGCCGAUACUGACACUCA